rnacentral:rRNA from 1 species
CCGGCGCACGGGUGCGUAACGCGUAUGCAACCUACCUUGUACUGGGGUAUAGCCCGGAGAAAUUCGGAUUAAUCCCCCAUAGUAUUACAUACUCGCAUGAGUUAUUAAUUAAAGGUUACGGUACAAGAUGGGCAUGCGUCCUAUUAGCUAGAUGGUGGGGUAACGGCUCACCAUGGCUACGAUAGGUAGGGGGCCUGAGAGGGUGGUCCCCCACACUGGUACUGAGACACGGACCAGACUCCUACGGGAGGCAGCAGUGAGGAAUAUUGGUCAAUGGGCGCAAGCCUGAACCAGCCAUGCCGCGUGCAGGAAGAAUGCCCUAUGGGUUGUAAGCUGCUUUUAUUUAGGAAUAAACUCUUGUACGUGUACAAGCCUGAAGGUACUAAAUGAAUAAGCACCGGCUAACUCCGUGCCAGCAGCCGCGGUAAUACGGAGGGUGCAAGCGUUAUCCGGAAUCAUUGGGUUUAAAGGGUCCGCAGGCGGAUUUAUAAGUCAGUGGUGAAAUCCUAUCGCUUAACGAUAGAACUGCCAUUGAUACUGUAAGUCUUGAAUUCGGUCGAAGUGGGCGGAAUGUGUAGUGUAGCGGUGAAAUGCAUAGAUAUUACACAGAACACCGAUAGCGAAGGCAGCUCACUAGGCCUGGAUUGACGCUCAGGGACGAAAGCGUGGGGAUCAAACAGGAUUAGAUACCCUGGUAGUCCACGCUGUAAACGAUGAUUACUCGUUUUCGGCGAUAUACAGUCGGAGACUAAGCGAAAGUGAUAAGUAAUCCACCUGGGGAGUACGAUCGCAAGGUUGAAACUCAAAGGAAUUGACGGGGGCCCGCACAAGCGGU